AUUGAACGCUGGCGGCAUGCCUUACACAUGCAAGUCGAACGGUAACGCGGGGCAACCUGGCGACGAGUGGCGAACGGGUGAGUAAUGCAUCGGAACGUGCCCAGUAGUGGGGGAUAGCCCGGCGAAAGCCGGAUUAAUACCGCAUACGACCUACGGGUGAAAGCGGGGGAUCGCAAGACCUCGUGCUAUUGGAGCGGCCGAUGUCAGAUUAGGUAGUUGGUGGGGUAAAGGCCUACCAAGCCUACGAUCUGUAGCUGGUCUGAGAGGACGACCAGCCACACUGGGACUGAGACACGGCCCAGACUCCUACGGGAGGCAGCAGUAGGGAAUUUUGGACAAUGGGCGCAAGCCUGAUCCAGCCAUGCCGCGUGCGGGAAGAAGGCCUUCGGGUUGUAAACCGCUUUUGUCAGGGAAGAAACGCUCUGGGCUAAUACCCCGGGGUAAUGACGGUACCUGAAGAAUAAGCACCGGCUAACUACGUGCCAGCCGCCGCAGUAAAAC
rnacentral:rRNA from 1 species